rnacentral:rRNA from 1 species
GACGAACGCUGGCGGCGUGCUUAACACAUGCAAGUCGAACGGAAAGGCCCUGCUUGCAGGGUACUCGAGUGGCGAACGGGUGAGUAACACGUGGGUGAUCUGCCCUGCACUUCGGGAUAAGCCUGGGAAACUGGGUCUAAUACCGGAUAGGAGCCAUUUUUAGGGUGAUGGUUGGAAAGUUUUUUCGGUGUGGGAUGAGCGCGCGGCCUAUCAGCUUGUUGGUGGGGUAAUGGCCUACCAAGGCGGCGACGGGUAGCCGGCCUGAGAGGGUGGACGGCCACAUUGGGGCUGAGAUACGGCCCAGACUCCUACGGGAGGGAGCAGGGGGGAAUAUUGCACAAUGGGCGCAAGCCUGGUGCAGCGAAGCCGCGUGGGGGAUGACGGCCUUCGGGUUGUAAACUCCUUUCGCUAGGGACGAAGCUUUUUGUGACGGUACCUAGAUAAGAAGCACCGGCUAACUACGUG